rnacentral:rRNA from 1 species
UACGGAGGGUGCAAGCGUUAAUCGGAAUUACUGGGCGUAAAGGGUGCGUAGGUGGUUUGAUAAGUUAGCUGUGAAAUUCCUGGGCUCAACCUGGGGUGGUCAGCUAAGACUGUUAGACUUUGAGUAUGGGAGAGGGUAGUGGAAUUUCCGGUGUAGCGGUGAAAUGCGUAGAGAUCGGAAGGAACACCAGUGGCGAAGGCGGCUACCUGGCCUAAUACUGACACUGAGGCACGAAAGCGUGGGGAGCAAACAGG